CGUACCUUUUGUAUAAUGGGUCAGCGACUUACAUUUAGUAGCAAGCUUAACUUUAAUAAGGUAGGCGAAGGGAAACCGAGUCUUAAUAGGGCGUUUAGUUUCUAGGUGUAGACCCGAAACCGAGUGAUCUAUCCAUGGCCAGAGUGAAGGUGGGGUAAUUCCUACUGGAGGCUCGAACCCACUUAUGUUGAAAAAUGAGGGGAUGAGCUG
rnacentral:rRNA from 1 species